rnacentral:rRNA from 1 species
ACUCCUACGGGAGGCUGCAGUGGGGAAUAUUGGACAAUGGGCGGAAGCCUGAUCCAGCAACGCCGCGUGAGGGAUGACGGCCUUCGGGUUGCAAACCUCUUUCAGCACAGACGAAGCGAAAGUGACGGUAUGUGCAGAAGAAGCACCGGCCAACUACGUGCCAGCAGCCGCGGUAAUACGUAGGGUGCGAGCGUUGUCCGGAAUUAUUGGGCGUAAAGGGCUCGUAGGCGGUUUGUCGCGUCGGGAGUGAAAACCAGAGGCUUAACUUCUGGCUGGCUUUCGAUACGGGCAGACUAGAGGUAUGCAGGGGAGAACGGAAUUCCUGGUGUAGCGGUGAAAUGCGCAGAUAUCAGGAGGAACACCGGUGGCGAAGGCGGUUCUCUGGGCAUUACCUGACGCUGAGGAGCGAAAGUGUGGGGAGCGAACAGGAUUAGAUACCCUGGUAGUCCACACCGUAAACGUUGGGCGCUAGGUGUGGGGCCUAUUCCAUGGGUUCCGUGCCGCAGCUAACGCAUUAAGCGCCCCGCCUGGGGAGUACGGCCGCAAGGCUAAAACUCAAAGGAAUUGACGGGGGCCCGCACAAGCGGCGGAGCAUGCGGAUUAAUUCGAUGCGACGCGAAGAACCUUACCUGGGUUUGACAUACACCGGAAAGCCUCAGAGAUGGGGCCCCUUUUGUCGGUGUACAGGUGGUGCAUGGCUGUCGUCAGCUCGUGUCGUGAGAUGUUGGGUUAAGUCCCGCAACGAGCGCAACCCUCGUUCUAUGUUGCCAGCACGUAAUGGUGGGGACUCAUAGGAGACUGCCGGGGUCAACUCGGAGGAAGGUGGGGAUGACGUCAAGUCAUCAUGCCCCUUAUGUCCAGGGCUUCACGCAUGCUACAAUGGCCGGUACAAAGGGCUGCGAUCCCGUAAGGGGGAGCGAAUCCCAAAAAGCCGGUCUCAGUUCGGAUUGGGGUCUGCAACUCGACCCCAUGAAGUCGGAGUCGCUAGUAAUCGCAGAUCAGCAACGCUGCGGUGAAUACGUUCCCGGGCCUUGUACACACCGCCCGU